CAAACCCAAUCAAAGUCAAAUCCAAUUCAAUUAGACUUGAUCUAAAGCUCUUUACUCAAUCAAAUUGAGUUAAUUAGCAAUCUAAUUACAAAUUAAUUUUCUAUUAAUAGAAGAGUCCCAAUCCAGCAGGAUUCUCUUCCAGAGUCUAAAUUCCAGUGGGACUCUUCGCCAGAGUCAUAAUCCAAUUGGACUCUUCAGCCAUC
rnacentral:lncRNA from 1 species